ACACAUUGCUGUGUGUACUGGGGUACGAAUAGCAUUCACUUCUAAUUGCACAAGGGUACGAAUAGCAUACAUUGCUAAUUGUACCAGGGGUGCAAAUAGCCUUACCCAAAAAAAAAAAAUCGGUAUGGGCACUAAAAAAUCCAUAUCGGUCAAUCCCUACUAGAAAACACAGAGCA